rnacentral:rRNA from 1 species
UACGGAGGGGGCUAGCGUUGUUCGGAAUUACUGGGCGUAAAGCGCACGUAGGCGGCUUUGUAAGUUAGAGGUGAAAGCCCAGGGCUUAACCCUGGAAUUGCCUUUAAGACUGCAUCGCUUGAAUCAUGGAGAGGCGGGUGGAAUUCCGAGUGUAGAGGUGAAAUUCGUAGAUAUUCGGAAGAACACCAGUGGCGAAGGCGGCCCGCUGGACAUGUAUUGACGCUGAGGUGCGAAAGCGUGGGGAGCAAACAGG